AAGUCGAGGGGCAGCGGGGAGGUAGCAAUACCUUUGCCGGCGACCGGCGCACGGGUGAGUAACACGUAUGCAAUCCACCUGUAACAGGGGGAUAACCCGGAGAAAUCCGGACUAAUACCCCAUGAUAUGGGCUCUCCGCAUGGAGGGUCCAUUAAAGAGAGCAAUCUUGGUUACAGACGAGCAUGCGCUCCAUUAGCCAGUUGGCGGGGUAACGGCCCACCAAGGCGACGAUGGAUAGGGGUUCUGAGAGGAAGGUCCCCCACAUUGGAACUGAGACACGGCCCAAACUCCUACGGGAGGCAGCAGUGAGGAAUAUUGGUCAAUGGUCGGCAGACUGAACCAGCCAAGUCGCGUGAGGGAAGACGGCCCUACGGGUUGUAAACCUCUUUUGUCGGAGAGUAAAGUGCGCUACGCGUAGCGUAUUGCAAGUAUCCGAAGAAAAAGCAUCGGCUAACUCCGUGCCAGCAGCCGCGGUAAUACGGAGGAUGCGAGCGUUAUCCGGAUUUAUUGGGUUUAAAGGGUGCGUAGGCGGCACGCCAAGUCAGCGGUGAAAUUUUCGGGCUCAACCCGGACUGUGCCGUUGAAACUGGCGAGCUAGAGUGCACAAGAGGCAGGCGGAAUGCGUGGUGUAGCGGUGAAAUGCAUAGAUAUCACGCAGAACCCCGAUUGCGAAGGCAGCCUGCUAGGGUGCGACAGACGCUGAGGCACGAAAGCGUGGGUAUCGAACAGGAUUAGAUACCCUGGUAGUCCACGCAGUAAACGAUGAAUACUAACUGUUUGCGAUACAAUGUAAGCGGUACAGCGAAAGCGUUAAGUAUUCCACCUGGGGAGUACGCCGGCAACGGUGAAACUCAAAGGAAUUGACGGGGGCCCGCACAAGCGGAGGAACAUGUGGUUU
rnacentral:rRNA from 1 species